CAAAACACAUUUCUUUGCUUCUUUAUUUCAUUCAACGACAUUGGGUUACAUAAUAAUUCAUCAAUUCUUUGCUAGAAGAGUAAGACCAAAGAAAAUAAGAACCACAAUUAGACAUUUUAGAAGAUAUCCAACUUCCAUAACUGCUCCCACUAGUUGGAUUAAUAUCUUCUUGAUGCCUUGUUGAUCUGUGGAUUGUCGAUCUUGCAUACUUCAUUCUUCUUUGAUUCUAAAGAAGUAGACGAUGCUUCCCCUCUAAUUUCUUCUCUAAUCUCACAUCUAGUCUCAUGUUCAGCCUCAAUUCUAGCAACGAGUGCACAAACAUCUACUAAUUGUCAUGCUAUCAAUAGAUCGAUGUAUUCUUCUUCCCAAUACCAAAACGAGCAUCCAUCAUCCUACACACAUAAAUGAGCAUCAAAGACUUACCGAAAUUGAACCGAAUUCGGUGAAAAACCGAAUCAAAACAAGCACACACCCCAUCGUUUGUGCAUUUGUAAUAGCUCGUGGUAGAAACUCGGCGCACCACUUCCCGUGUGUAGUCAUCGCAUUGUAUGACCGGCAGUUGCAAGCCGGUGAGCUGCUGUGCGAGCAUCGAGCUCGGGCCACGGCCGGUUAUGUAGUUGCUGGAGAACCGACGGCAGGAGCGAUUAGAGUGGCUAGAGGAAGAACUGGUACAUGCAUGCGGCACAGAGGAUUUGCCGGGGCUGUGUGGGCCGCUUCCCGGCCAAUCCAUGGCAAGGCGCAGCCGCCAAUGGCCGGAAACGCCAAAUCCAGCGGCGGCGACAGUAGCCGUAGAUCCCCUCGAUUUUUGGCGGGUGGCGGGACGAAGAGUUGGUGGAGGACAGCGGUGGAGGCCUACCAGGCUUCCCCAGCGGCCAGCCAGUGCAGGCGGGGAGGGAGAAGGGGUAGGAGGGGCAGCGGGGGCGAAGAUGCGGCGCAGGAGGGGAGGGAGAGGCAGCAGAGGAGAGCCGCGCCGUUUUACUCGGUGGAGCAAAGAGGGGGUAAAACUAGGGAAAUUUUUAGAGGAGGAGUACAAUUUUACUCUGUUAGGCCGGAUAGGGGAUCGGCUAAAUGCCGGUUAGUGGAGUAAAAAGCUAAAUAUACUCAGUUAUAGGGGAUCGGUUAGAAAUGCCCUAAGCUAGUCCCAGUUCAGAUAUUGUUUGUUGUAUUUAGGAUCCAUAAUAUGGCUUGUCAAGUUGUAAUAGCUCCUCGCGUGCACAAUUCUUGUGCUAGGUCCUGAGAGAUUGCUUCUUAUUUAUCUACUUAUCUGUCUUGCCAUUAUUAUUCCAAUUUGUAUUGUUCGGUCUGUACUGUGCUCAUUGCUCGCAGAGAUAAAUGAACAACGAAAAACGUUACUAAUUUCACGCUGGCCACCUAUCUAUCACAAGAGAAUAGGUGGAAAGUGACCACGACAUCGGAUAAUAUGAUGCCCGGCGAAUCAUGUCAUCCAUGCAAAUUGCAGCUAGCAUUAGUCUGGUAGUGAUCAUAUCAAGCAAUGGAAACAAUCAUAGGACAACUCUGCACAAGAUCUGCGUGGUAAACGAUGCUGCAUUGAUCUGAAUAUCCCUGCACGUACUGAGUGCGGGCCUCCUCUGCAUGCAUGAACCAUGAUGGUAGAUGGAGGUGCAACACUAAAGCUGACGCGUUUGGUGCCCGGCGUCGUGUAUAAAAUGAGACCUCCGCAUCGCUCUCAGAACUCACACCGCUCUCCCCACACCAAAAUCAAGCACUACAGCUACCUACGUGGUUCAGAUUGCAGAGAGCCAGCGUGCACUACGCUCUGUUCACUUCGGCUAGCUUCACUUCCACCAACAUGGCCAACUUUGCCGCCCAGCUCAAGGAUAGGUUUUUCGGACUCGUCGACCGCGUCACCGGCUGUGGCCGCGCUGGGGUCAAGGAAGAGGCCGCCAAGUCGGCGCCGGCACCGACUGUGCAGGAGCACGUCGAGAUUCGGCCAAGAGGGCCCAAUGUGUCAGGAGGAUCAGAGGCGGGGGUCAAUUAGGCAUCGUGGAUUACUAUCUGCUGAUGUCCCGAGAGUUGUCGCUUCGCUCCAGAUUCAUGCAUGUGGCCUCCCUUGUUCUGAAAGUUGAAACAAAUGCUUUCCUUUGCUGGUGUUCUGAAUGCGUGAAGUGUGCUUGUGCGUGCGUGGGUGUGUUUUUAAUGUUCAACAAGAUUUAUUUUUUCAUACCUCAAAAGUGGCAACUGAAGUAUCGAGCUUAA